rnacentral:rRNA from 1 species
AUUGAACGCUGGCGGCAGGCUUAACACAUGCAAGUCGAACGAGUGGCGGGCGGGUGAGAAAUGUCUGGGAAACUGCCCGCUGGAGGGGGAUAAAUAACUGAAACGGUAGCUAAUACCACACACCAUCGGAUGUGCGCAGAUGGGAUUCGCUAGUAGGUGGGGUAAGGGCCCACCUAGGAGACGAUCCCUAGCUGGUCUGACAGGAUGACCAGCAACACUGGAACUGAGCCACGGUCCAGUCUCCACCGCGAGGCAGCAGUGGGGAAUAUUGCACAAUGGACGCAAGCCUGAUGCAGCCAUGCUGCGUGUAGGAAGAAAGCCUGCGGGUUUUCAAGUACUUCCUGCGAGGAAGCGGUACUCGCAGAAGAAGCACCGGCUAACUCCGUGCCAGCAGCCGCGGUAAUAC